rnacentral:rRNA from 1 species
UACGUAGGGAGCAAGCGUUGUCCGGAAUCAUUGGGCGUAAAGAGCUCGUAGGCGGCUUGUCGCGUCUGCCGUGAAAGUCCGGGGCUCAACUCCGGAUCUGCGGUGGGUACGGGCAGACUAGAGUGAUGUAGGGGAGACUGGAAUUCCUGGUGUAGCGGUGAAAUGCGCAGAUAUCAGGAGGAACACCGAUGGCGAAGGCAGGUCUCUGGGCAUUAACUGACGCUGAGGAGCGAAAGCAUGGGGAGCGAACAGG